CAUUAGAUCAGAUUCCUUGGUUAUAGAAUACUGAAGAUAUUGUAAUUUGCCAAUGGCUUUCUGCAGUUGAGAUACAAGAACGUGGAGGAGAUAAACCUUGAAUUUGCUCAAGAUGUUGAAGACAAGCAUCUUCUUUUUCUCAAGGGCAUGUCUUUCCAGGAUUUGAAGCAUUUUAAUUUAAAUGGCUGCCAAAAAUUCACUGAUAAUGGAGUGGAGGCCAUUGCUCUUGCAAGUCCCAAACUGAAGUAUUUGUCUAUCUAUUGGAAUGUAAGGAUCACUGAUCAGAGUAUCAAGCACUUGGUGAAGAACUGCAAUGAUAUAGUCUCACUGAACUUGAGUGGAUGUAAGAAUAUUACAGACCAAAGUUUGUAUCUCCUCGCAAAUCAUUACAAGGAAAUAAAGCAUUUGAAUUUGACCAGGUGUGUGAAGCUGACUGAUGAUGGCUUGAUGCAGCUGUUAGACAAUUGUCGAAGCAUUGAGGAUCUGAACCUCUAUGCUGAUUCAAGUUUUACUGACAAAUCUUAUGAAAAGAUGUCAAAUCUUAGUGAAUUGAGGAUCUUGGAUCUGUGCGGUGCUCAGUACUUGUCCGAUCAAGGUCUUCUAUCAAUAGCCAAAUGCAGGAAGCUGGUAUCACUAAAUUUAACAUGGUGUGUCUGUGUUACUGAUGUUGGUGUCAAAUCAAUUGCUCGGAAUUGCCCAUUCCUAGAGUUUCUUAGCUUGUUUGGAAUUUUGGGAGUAAGUGAUUCAAGCCUGGAAACUUUUUCCAAGUUCUGUUCAGAUAAAUUGACAACAUUGGAUGUCAAUGGUUGCAUUAACAUAAAGAGGCGAUCAAAAAGUGAACUUUUGGAGCUUUUUCCCAAGCUUACUUGUUUCAAAGUACAUAGCUAAUCAUUAUCAAGCAUUGCUCUUAGAGAUGCCCUCUUAAUACAAGUGCUUUGCAAAGGAAGAGAAUGUUUUUAUAGCCUAUAGAUCCAUUUGGUGGAAUUUCGAAAGAAAAAAUAAGGUGCUUGCUACCCACUGAAGGGUGUUUUGCUAGGUAGUGGGCUUCGAAAAGUAUUAAAGAUUGUAAAGAUAUUUUUCAGAAUGGGUCAUUGAAAGAGUGAGUUUUGUUGAAAAAUGAAUUUGGCAGAAAAAAAUACUAAAAUAAGAACAUUCUUUGUUUUGAAAAGGGCUGUACAUGGUGUGAAUUUUCGCUGUAAAAUUCGACAUUGAGAUUCUGAGUAAUAUUUCAUGGAAGGAUGGUACUGUUUUUGACAAAAUGACUGUUAAAAAGAUGUAUGGAAUGCUAGCUGACUAACAAACUUAAUGAUAAUUCGAAUCUCGUGG